UUUUACAUUUUGGGUAUUCUGCUCCCGGAUUUGGCUAUAAUUGGAGAGCUACACUCAACCAACCUAGCUCAAACCAAUUCCUGCACGUUCUUAACAAAAUUUCCAACAAGUUUCCUGAAGGCCGCAAAGGAUGAAAGUGGCUGGAAACCAUUCCCUCAAUUCGAGUUCUUGGAAGGCAUAUUCAGGAGAAAUUUUGAAAAUCAAUUUGUGCCAUACACACAAAUUUGAGCCAUAUUCAGGGGAAGUUUUUAGCCAAUUUGGGGAGUAUCCAAAAUUCUCCCUCUACACUCAAUGUUUAUUAUUCAAACCAAUUCUGAUAGCUUCAUGGUGACUUUGUGAGAAGAAGACCCAAGAACCUGAGGGGAUUGACCAUCAAAUUGGAGAGAAUGAGCAAAAUUCGUUCCCUAAGGUUUAUUCUAACAUAUUGAGAGGAAGAAAGAGAAGAAUCUUGCUGAAGGAAGCGAAGGCCAAUGAGCUCUGGAACCACUUGAACCAAGGAAGGGUAGCCACGAGUUUGCUCUAGCGACGAGGCUGGUUUCCAAAGGUCAUUCAUUCCACGGCCUGUAACUUUGUCCACGGUGAACUAAAUUUCACGAGACCAGUCCCUACCUCUUCAUUGACAUACCCUGUACAAGUUUGUAGAAGAAAUAUGGGAGAGACAUCCACUGUACGAGUUAGAAGAAGGUUGACACCCUACAAAGUCCUAUACAAGAAAGUCAGUGAAAUUUGAGUAUUUGGACUGCAAGAACUGAAGUCCCAAACACAACCAAGCAAGUAGCCACUUUCAUCUUUCCUCGAGAAAUACUGGUAAGAAUUGUUUGGUAUUGUCUCAUAACCUUGAGUUAACUUAGAAAUAAGUAAAAAAUGAAAGAUUAGGCCAAGUAUGUAUCCAAAGUUUGAUGGACAAAGGAGAAUGUUUAGGGCAUAAACUAACGAUAAGGAUAAGUUGACCAAAAUGCCCCUACUAUGUCCUUAUAAUGCUUCACGGUCUAAACGAACUCCAAAUGGUUUGAAAUUUUAUAUGACACCUAUUUAUAAGGUUAUGAAUGAUUAUGCAUGGUUUUAAAGCUAUUGGAGCAUAAUUAGUAGCAUAUUUAUGAGCAUGUUUAGGACAUAAACCAAGAUUAGGGUGGAAAGUGACAGAAACGCCCCAUUGAACACCUUAUGGAAUUUUAUGUUUUUCAUGAGCCCCAAUUAGCAUGAAACUUUGCAUACCACUUACUUAAAGAAACCAUGAAUGUAACAGCCCAAGCCCAAGCCCAAGCCCACCAUUAGCAUAUAUUAUUAUCUUUGGGCUAUCCCUUUCAGGUUUCCCUCAGUUUUUAAAACAAAUCUUCUAGGGAGAGGUUUCCACACCCUU